GAUGAACGCUGACAGAAUGCUUAACACAUGCAAGUCGAUUCGAUUUACCUUCGGGUAUUGAGGAUGGCGGACGGGUGAGUAACGCGUAAGGAACUUGCCUCUUGGACUGGGACAACUGUUGGAAACGACAGCUAAUACCGGAUAUUAUGAGAUUCUCGCAUGGGAAACUUAUGAAAGCUAUAUGCGCCAAGAGAGAGCCUUGCGUUCCAUUAGCUAAUUGGUGGGGUAAAGGCUCACCAAGGCGACGAUCCCUAGCUGGUUUGAGAGGAUGAUCAGCCACACUGGAACUGAGGCACGGUCCAGACUCCUACGGGAGGCAGCAGUGGGGAAUAUUGGACAAUGGGCCACAAGCCUGAUCCAGCAAUUCUGUGUGCACGAUGAAGGUCUUCGGAUCGUAAAGUGCUUUCAGUUGGGAAGAAGAAAGUGACGGUACCAACAGAAGAAGCGACGGCUAAAUACGUGCCAGCAGC
rnacentral:rRNA from 1 species